UACGAAGGGGGCUAGCGUUGCUCGGAAUCACUGGGCGUAAAGGGCGCGUAGGUGGCGACCCAAGUCGAUGGUGAAAGCUCGCCGCUUAACGGCGAGUCGGCCACCGAUACUGGGUUGCUUGAGCACUGUAGAGGCUAAUGGAAUUCCGGGUGUAGCGGUGGAAUGCGUAGAGAUCCGGAAGAACACCGGUGGCGAAGGCGGUUAGCUGGGCAGUUGCUGGACAACUGAGGCGCGACAGCGUGGGGGACAAACAGGG
rnacentral:rRNA from 1 species